rnacentral:rRNA from 1 species
GCCUGGUUAGUAUUUGGAUGGGAGACUACCUGGGAAUACCAGGU